AUACGGAGGGUGCAAGCGUUAUUCGGAAUUACUGGGCGUAAAGCGUACGUAGGCGGUUGGUUAAGUUAGAUGUGAAAGCCCCGGGCUUAACCUGGGAACUGCAUUUAAAACUGGCGAACUAGAGUUGAGUAGAGGGGAGUGGAAUUUCAGGUGUAGCGGUGAAAUGCGUAGAGAUCUGAAGGAACACCAGUGGCGAAGGCGACUCCCUGGACUCGAACUGACGCUGAGGUACGAAAGCGUGGGUAGCAAACGGGAUUAGAAACCCUAGUAGUCC
rnacentral:rRNA from 1 species